GGGGUUAUGCUGGAGGUGAACGGAGAUAAUGCAGGCCUGGCAUGUGUGGUGGGCUUGUCAAGUGUGUUGAAUCGUUUUGGGAUUUUGUUUGCUGCGUGUUUGCUUGCUCUGGGAUUUCAUCUGGGAUCCUGCAGGAAGUCAUCCUCUCUCCUUAGAUUUUAUGCAUACCUUUGUUGGCUACACACGGCCCUUGGGACACCAUGCGCUAUUAACCCUCUCUGCAAUCCUGCAGAUCAAGCCCUGUUGGCUGCCCUGCUGACCCUUCUGCUUAUUAUGGGACUUAGUAUGCUGCAUUAAUAAUGAAAACACUUUGUGAAGAAAUGCUGUGCUGAGAACCAAGCUUAGUGCCCUGCGAAGACCACUGGACCAGAAAGCAGAAGACUGGAGUUGUAGCUGAGGUCUGCAACAGGAUGGAGACACACACAGCAGUCUGUUUGGCUUCUCUGAGCUCAUGUCUCUCCUGGGUUAGAUCACAGGAUUUUAUGAUGCUCGUCAGCAUCAAAAUCCUGUGCAUCUUUGUUUUUUAACCUCACAGUAUCCAUGUAAAAGUUACUGGCUAAGAAAUCAUAUUUGCAUUGGAAGUGGAAAGCCUAAAUUACAUGCCCAAAAGCAACAGGAAAAUAAAUUAUAACUUAACAAGAAUUAGGUUUGAUUUCUUCCCAAGUUCUAAUUUUCUGUUACUCUGGUAGGAGAGUGAUAUCUAGGGAUCACGGAUUCUCAGGGGUAUAUGGCACCCAACAAUUCAACUCAAUUC
rnacentral:lncRNA from 1 species